GUGCAGCAGGCGAGAAACUUUACAAUGUGCGAAAGCACGAUAAGGGAACUCUGAGUGCCUCCUAAGGAGGCUGUUCAGGUGUCUAAAAGCACCUGGAGUAAGGGCUGGGUAAGACCGGUGCCAGCCGCCGCGGUAACACCGGCAGCCCAGGUGGUAGCCACUUUUAUUGGGUCUAAAGCGUCCGUAGCCGGUUGAGUAAGUUCCUUGGGAAAUUUGGCUGCUCAACAGUCAAGCUUCCAGGGAAUACUGCUCGACUUGGGGACUGGGAGAGGUCAGAGGUACUCCAGGGGUAGGGGUGAAAUCCAUUAAUCCCUGGGGGACCACCGGUAGCGAAGGCGUCUGACCAGACCAGGUCCGACGGUGAGGGACGAAGGCUAGGGGCGCGAACCGGAUUAGAUACCCGUGUAGU
rnacentral:rRNA from 1 species